rnacentral:lncRNA from 1 species
GUGGCCAUAGGAGCACGAGAAGAAGGUGUCCCUCAGGAGGAAAAUAUGUGGGCCGUUCCUGUCAGGAGACACCAAGGUGUUGCUGAGGUUGCCGCGGGAGAAACAGAAUAUGGUGUCCCUGAGGAGGAAAAGAUGUGGGCCGUUCCUGUCAGGAGGCAGCAGGAUGUUGCUGAGGUGGCCGCGGGAGCAACGAAAUACGGUGUCCCUGUGGAGGAAAAGAUGUGGGCUUUUCCUGUAAGGACACACCAGGCUGUUGGUGAGUUUCCUGUGGUCUCUGGAACCAUGGAGAAUGAUUGGGUGUUGGAGAGCCUGUCUGACUCUGGAACCGAUGAUGAAUAGUCAUCAGAUAGGGAACUGCACUCAGGUAGGAAUCAAUGGGAGAGGGUUUCUGGGAACAGCUGGCUUAUACCUGCUGCUUUGUAGACUUAGAGUGGGAGGUAUGAAAUCAGAAAGACAAAGCAAGGAUGUGCGAAGCCUUGUGUUGUUCUUUUAAUAUAAUAGCAGCGUCUUUUAAUAGAAUAGAUGUGUUCUCCCUCUGGGCUUUGAAUGUACUCUGUCUGUAACCAGCUUUUUAAAGUUUGUUUUUUUUUUAACCAAGUUGGUUAACAUAUAGUGUAAUAAUGGUUUCAGUAAUAGAAUUUAGUGAUUUAUCACUUCCAUAGACCAAACCAUGUGGUCAUCCGCACCAAGUGCCCUCCCUAAUGCUCAUCACCUAUUUAGUACAUCCCUCUACCCAACACCCUUCCAACAACUCUCAGUGUGUGAAGAGUUAAUCAGUCACUUAUGGACUGUCUCCAUCUCUGUUUUUACCUUAUUUUUCCUUCCAUUCUCCUAUGUUCAUCUGUUUUGUUAGAUUCCACACAUGAGUGAAAUCAUAUGAUAUUUGUCUUUCUCUGACUGACUUAAUUUGCUUACCAUAACACAUUCUAGUUGCAUCCACGUUGUUGCAAAAGGCAAGAUUUCAUUCUUUUGGAUCAUGGAAUGAUAUUCUAUUCUAUGUAGAUAGAUAGAUAGAUAGAUAGAUAGAUAGAUAUAGAUAGAUAGAGAUAUAAAAAUAGGUAUCUAUAUACAGACAGAUAUAUGUAUCUAUAUAUUCCUUAUCCAUUCAUCAGUCACUGGACACCUUGGCUCCUUCCAUAAUUUGGCUAUUAUUGACAGUGCCAUUAUAAACACUGGGGUGCAUGUGCCCCUUUGAGUCAGCACUCCUGUAUCCUUUGGAUAAAUAUCUAAUCAUGCAAUUGCUAGGACGUAGGGUAGCUCUCUUUUUACUUUUUUUGCAGACCUCCAUACUAUUUUCCGGAGUGGCUGCACUAGUUUGCAUUCCCACCAACAGGGCAAA